AACGUAGGAGGCAAGCGUUAUCCGGAUUCACUGGGCGUAAAGCGCGUGCAGGCGGUGCGGUAAGUUGGGCGUGAAAUCUCCCGGCUCAACUGGGAUAGGUCGUCCAAUACUACCGUACUUGAGAGCAGAAGAGGAAAAUGGAAUUCCCGGUGUAGUGGUGAAAUGCGUAGAUAUCGGGAGGAACACCAGUGGCGAAGGCGAUUUUCUGGUCUGUUUCUGACGCUCAGACGCGACAGCUAGGGUAGUAAACGGG
rnacentral:rRNA from 1 species